rnacentral:rRNA from 1 species
AUUGAACGCUGGCGGCAGGCCUAACACAUGCAAGUCGAGCGGAUGAGUGGAGCUUGCUCCAUGAUUCAGCGGCGGACGGGUGAGUAAUGCCUAGGAAUCUGCCUGGUAGUGGGGGACAACGUUUCGAAAGGAACGCUAAUACCGCAUACGUCCUACGGGAGAAAGUGGGGGAUCUUCGGACCUCACGCUAUCAGAUGAGCCUAGGUCGGAUUAGCUAGUUGGUGAGGUAAAGGCUCACCAAGGCGACGAUCCGUAACUGGUCUGAGAGGAUGAUCAGUCACAAUGGAACUGAGACACGGUCCAGACUCCUACGGGGGGCAGCAGUGGGGAAUAUUGGACAAUGGGCGAAAGCCUGAUCCAGCCAUGCCGCGUGUGUGAAGAAGGUCUUCGGAUUGUAAAGCACUUUAAGUUGGGAGGAAGGGCAGUAAGUUAAUACCUUGCUGUUUUGACGUUACCAACAGAAUAAGCACCGGCUAACUUCGUGCCAGCCGCCGCCGUAAGAC